CGGGUGAGUAAUGUAUGGGGAUCUGCCUGAUGGCGGGGGAUAACUACUGGAAACGGUAGCUAAUACCGCAUAAUGUCUACGGACCAAAGCGGGGGACCUCCGGGCCUCGCGCCAUCAGAUGUGCCCAGAUGGGAUUAGCUAGUAGGUGGGGUAACGGCUCACCUAGGCGACGAUCCCUAGCUGGUCUGAGAGGAUGACCAGCCACACUGGAACUGAGACACGGUCCAG
rnacentral:rRNA from 1 species